rnacentral:rRNA from 1 species
UGAGGGAUAUUGGUCAAUGGGCGCAAGCCCGAACCAGCGACGCCGCGUGGGUGAAGAAGGCCUUCGGGUUGUAAAGCCCCUUUGUUGGGAAAGAAAUCCUGUCGGCUAAUACCCGGCGGGGAUGACGGUACCCAAAGAAUAAGCACCGGCUAACUUCGUGCCAGCAGCCGCGGUAAUACGAAGGGUGCAAGCGUUACUCGGAAUUACUGGGCGUAAAGCGUGCGUAGGCGGUUCGUUAAGUCUGUCGUGAAAGCCCUGGGCUCAACCUGGGAAUUGCGAUGGAUACUGGCGAGCUAGAGUACGGUAGAGGAUGGUGGAAUUCCCGGUGUAGCGGUGAAAUGCGUAGAGAUCGGGAGGAACACCCGUGGCGAAGGCGGCCAUCUGGACCAGUACUGACGCUGAGGCACGAAAGCGUGGGGAGCAAACA